UAUGGUAAUUGUGGCCGCCGCGGUAAUACGGAGGAUGCGAGCGUUAUCCGGAUUUAUUGGGUUUAAAGGGAGCGCAGACGGGUCGUUAAGUCAGCUGUGAAAGUUUGGGGCUCAACCUUAAAAUUGCAGUUGAUACUGGCGUCCUUGAGUGCGGUUGAGGUGUGCGGAAUUCGUGGUGUAGCGGUGAAAUGCUUAGAUAUCACGAAGAACUCCGAUUGCGAAGGCAGCACACUAAUCCGUAACUGACGUUCAUGCUCGAAAGUGUGGGUAUCAAACAGG
rnacentral:rRNA from 1 species